rnacentral:rRNA from 1 species
CAGCCGCCGCGGUAAUACGUAGGGGGCGAGCGUUGUCCGGAAUUAUUGGGCGUAAAGCGCGCGCAGGCGGUCCCUUAAGUCUGAUGUGAAAGCCCACGGCUCAACCGUGGAGGGUCAUUGGAAACUGGGGGACUUGAGUGCAGAAGAGGAGAGCGGAAUUCCACGUGUAGCGGUGAAAUGCGUAGAGAUGUGGGGGAACACCAGUGGCGAAGGCGGCUCUCUGGUCUGUAACUGACGCUGAGGCGCGAAAGCGUGGGGAGCAAACAGGAUUAGAUACCCUGGUAGUCCACGCCGUAAACGAUGAGUGCUAAGUGUUAGAGGGGUUAAACCCUUUAGUGCUGUAGCUAACGCGUUAAGCACUCCGCCUGGGGAGUACGGCCGCAAGGCUGAAACUUAAAGGAAUUGGCGGG